CCUACGGGUGGCAGCAGUGAGGAAUAUUGGUCAAUGGACGCAAGUCUGAACCAGCCAUGCCGCGUGCCGGAAGACGGCUCUAUGAGUUGUAAACUGCUUUUGUACGAGGAUAAACGCAGAUACGCGUAUCUGUCUGAAAGUAUCGUACGAAUAAGGAUCGGCUAAGUCCGUGCCAGCAGCCGCUGUACUACGGAGGAUUCAAGCGUUAUCCGGAUUUAUUGGGUUUAAAGGGUGCGUAGGCGGUCGGAUAAGUUAGAGGUGAAAGCCUGAGGCUCAACUUCGGAAUUGCCUCUGAUACUGUUCGGCUAGAGAGUAGUUGCGGUAGGCGGAAUGUAUGGUGUAGCGGUGAAAUGCUUAGAGAUCAUACAGAACACCGAUUGCGAAGGCAGCUUACCAAGCUACUUCUGACGUUGAGGCACGAAAGCGUGGGGAGCAAACAGGAUUAGAUACCCUUGUAGUC
rnacentral:rRNA from 1 species